CCCUUAGAUGUUCUGGGCCGCACGCGCGCUACACUGACGAAUGCAACGAGCUUAUAACCUUGGCCGAAAGGUCUGGGUAAUCUCCAAAUUUCGUCGUGAUGGGGAUAGAUUAUUGCAAUUAUUAAUCUUCAACGAGGAAUGCCUAGUAAGCGCAAGUCAUCAGCUUGCGUUGAUUACGUCCCUGCCCUUUGUACACACCGCCCGUCGCUCCUACCGAUUGAAUGGUCCGGUGAAUCGUUCGGACCGUGGCCUUUGGACGGUUCGCCGUCUGUUGGCUGCGGGAAGUUCGUUAAACCUUAUCAUUUAGAGGAAGGAGAANUCGUAACA
rnacentral:rRNA from 1 species